rnacentral:rRNA from 1 species
CCUACGGGAGGCAGCAGUGGGGAAUAUUGCACAAUGGGGGAAACCCUGAUGCAGCGACGCCGCGUGAGUGAAGAAGUAUCUCGGUACGUAAAGCUCUAUCAGCAGGGAAGAAAAUGACGGUACCUGACUACGAAGCCCCGGCUAACUACGUGCCAGCAGCCGCGGUAAUACGUAGGGGGCAAGCGUUAUCCGGAUUUACUGGGUGUAAAGGGAGCGUAGACGGCAGCACAAGACUUGAGUGAAAUCCCUGGGCUUAACCCCGGAACUGCUUUGGAAACUGUGCGGCUGGAGUGCAGGAGGGGUAAGCGGAAUUCCUAGUGUAGCGGUGAAAUGCGUAGAUAUUAGGAGGAACAACGGUGGCGAAGGCGGCUUACUGGACUGUAACUGACGUUGAGGCUCGAAAGCGUGGGGAGCAAACAGGAUUAGAUACCCCAGUAGUC